GCCCUCUGAUAAAGAUGCCCAGCACUAGGUUACUUCAAAGGCUUCCCAGAACCUCAGUUGCAUUUAGUUACUAUCUGCUGUGAUCCCUUCAGGAAUCAAAUGUAUAAUUCUGGCCUAACCCUUAUUGUGAUAUAACUAUAGUGCUUAUCUGUCUCACAUGAACCAGACAACUAUAUUAAGCAAACACAGAGUAUCCACCCGACAUCCUUUUCUGCACUUGGCCCUGAGGAUGUGGAGCCUGAUUGUUUAUUGUUUGGGUUAUGGAGAGAAGAAGGAGGCAAGAAGAGCCUAUGAACUGCUUCAUUACUUAAAGCCUGCCCCUAAUCUUGCUUCGUCUUAGGUGGAAGUGUUUGAUAUCCCUCUGGAGCUAUGGUCUAUCCAGGUUUUGCUAAA